GGCCCGAGGGACGCGGAGUGGGGGAGGAUGCGCUGCGCGGGGCUGAGCGGCCGCGGAAAGCAGAGCGCGGACGGAAAGCAGCAACAGCUGAUGUGAUCAGAUAGAAGGGAGUCAGAACUGCUCCCAUCCAGCUGUCCAAACCUGUUCCCAUGGGUCUCCCAACAUCCCUCCAAGACUUUCCCAUCCCACUGAUGUCCAUCCAAUGGUUCGAAGGAGCUAAGACAUACAGUCUUCAGGGCAACGAGCUGUUGGAGAUGGAGCAUACGUAGUUUCAAUGAUGACACCCAAAAGUUUAUCCACAGCUCUCAGUGCUGGAAACUGAAGGAAAAACAAACACAUGACAGAAAGCAGAAGUAAGAGAUUUUCAUGCAUUCUCGUGAUCCCAGGAGCUGGAGCUUUAAGGAGAAGGAAACAACAAACAACAAAAGCAUAUGAUAUAAGAAUUAUGAUUUGGCUGGCAGCAGAAGGAAAACCUCAUGAUUUAUGUGACAAACCUCAACUGAACAACCCAGCUCAAAAACUUGGAAAAAGGUGAAACAUUCCAGCAUCGUUCAGGCUGCCAAAAUAACAGCAACAAUCAUGCAAAAAUUCCAGCACAAGAAAAAAAAUAAAACGAAAUGAAUGAGAUUUUCUCCACUUUCAUGAACUCAAAGACAAACAGAUGUUGACAAGAAGAUGUUACAAACAGCUUUGCUGUUGUUGAGCCGAGCCCAGCUCACAGCAAUAGGAGCACAUCUCUCCCUCACUGCCAGCCCCCCUACUCUUGGUGCAGCUCAGGCAGCAGCCAGUGUCUGAUGCUGUGUGCUCUUCCACAUCUUGUUCCAAUGCAAGGCGUUUAAUUACAGCCUCUCAUAUGCCACGUUAACAGUUGCAAUUAGUUAUUAAGCAUCACUCUGCCAGAAAACACCGACACUGGGUACUUCCCUAAAAGCGCCCCGGUCAAUAACAUCUGCACUUCUCAAUGCGGCCCUACAGUUGGGACUACAAGUUCUAAAGGGCCCGGCAGUCUCCUGCGUGCUACUUUCUGUGCUCCUUUAAUACUGAAGAAGCCAUUAAUUUUAUUUAGCAGAGAUUAGACUUGCAGGACCCAACCUAACUGAUACAGAGCUCCAAGAGGCCCUCUCCUGGAAAAAGGCCUCAGAAAUGGAUCCCACAUCCAAAUGGAAGAUGACGCCAGCACUGGUUUCAUUUCAAGGCCAUCCAGAUGUUCUGUAAAAUGAUUAGGAAGUGCCGUGUAUCAAAUAUAAGAUACCCUGCACUGAACUAAUGCAUUUAUUUGCUCUGAAUGGUUUUCCAGUUCAGGGCAGCACUUUGCCUGUCACAAGUAAAGUGCUUUGACAGAACACAUGGACAUUUCUGCUGUUUAAACUGAGCCAGGGGACAGAGUGGCCAGCAAGUCUCAGAUCUCAGCAAGAGCCCAGAGAAGUACUGUCACUCUGAUAUAUUUAUUUCCUGGUCAACUAAAAGAUGAGUUCAAAUCCUAUUUGUCAGCAUCCUGCACAUCCAUGGCCAUUUGAAAGGAAGCAAAUAAACAUAAUGUUAUCAUGGAGUCAUUGAGUUUCUACUGUUAUAGGCUAGCAGGUGUUCAGAACAUCACAGAGAUUGAGUAAUGCAGCCCUCUGCUUUGAAGAAUGAGGACUGAGAGCUGGUCCUGUCUAUUAGAGACACUGAAUCUCUACACAGACGUGCUUGGUCUCCUCCAGCACUGGAUCCAAGCGCACUUGGAGUGGUGAGGUGCUGGUACAGAUGUCCCAUCCCUAGAGGUGCUCAAGGCCAGGCUGGAUGGGGCAUUGGGCAGUCUAAGCUGAUGAGUGGCCAUCAGCCCACAGCAGGUGGAGAGACCUAGGAGACCUUUAGCGACCUUGGAAAUCUUUAAUGUCCCUUCCAACCUAAGCCAGCUACAACCUGGCCUCAGCUGUGUGGCUGUGAUAAGGCAAAUGCCAUGGGGACCUGCUGCAGAGCUCCCUGCAAGGAGGGGUAACAGAGCUGAGAAACAGCAGGGAAAGCUGGAUGGCUGAGUCCUCUACUUUGCUGCCAAACA